rnacentral:sRNA from 1 species
AGGUGCCGCUCGUUCACCGCGGUUCCUGCGCGCCACCGGCACCCACCUGCUGCCGGCUCACUGGGCGGUGUUAGCU